rnacentral:rRNA from 1 species
AACGAUUUUAACCAACCUUGGGAGCCUAGAGAAUUUUGGGGGAAGUUUACGCGAUAAGUCGACCGCUUGGGAGUACGGCCGCAAGGUUAAAACUAAGAGAUUGACGGGGGCCCGCACAAGCGGUGGAGCAUGUGGUUUAACUGGAUGCAACGCGAAGAACCUUACCUACCCUUGACAUCCUGCGAACUUGGUAGAGAUACCUUGGUGCCUUCGGGAGCGCAGAGACAGGUGCUGCAUGGCUGUCGUCAGCUCGUGUUGUGAAAUGUUGGGUUAAGUCCCGUAACGAGCGCAACCCUUGUCCUUAUUUGCCAGCACGUCAUGGUGGGAACUCUAGGGAGACUGCCGGUGACAAACCGGAGGAAGGUGGGGACGACGUCAAGUCAUCAUGGCCCUUACGGGUAGGGCUACACACGUGCUACAAUGGCCGGUACAAAGGGCGGCGAGCUCGCGAGAGUCAGCGAAUCCCUUAAAGCCGGUCUCAGUCCGGAUCGGAGUCUGCAACUCGACUCCGCGAAGUCGGAAUCGCUAGUAAUCGUGCAUCAGAAUGGCACGGUGAAUACGUUCCCGGGCCUUGUACACACCGCCCGUCACACCAUGGGAGUGGACUGCACCAGAAGUGGUUAGCCUAACUUGGAGGGCGAUCACCA